AUGCCUGAUCUCACGCCUUCUUGUCCUACAAUUCAGCGCUGGCGACAAAGGUUUUCCCAAGUCGAGAUCGAGAUACCAGCCCGGCUCCGCCAACAUAUUCCCGAUAAUAGACCAGCUCUGGUCUACCCAGAUGAGCCUGUGGUGCUGGGCCCGUAUGAAGACACCCCCCAGGCUCAAGCAGAGAGGGAGCUGCGCAAUGCUCGAUGGCCUAUCUAUGACCCACCAAUUGAGUACACUAGCUGGGAGGGGGAUUUUAUCCGUCUCCCUGCAUAUGAUGCUUGGGACACAUCCGUGGGUUCCCUACGAUGCCUGCCGCCUAAAAAACGCUUUUUGGUGAUGUACGGAGCAGGGAGACGCAAACGAUCGCGCCCUAGCCCACCGUCCGUGGCUGACCACCCUGGAUCUCCGCAACCCGCACAGCACAGACCAUCGAGGGACCAGACGCCGCGCCCUAGUCCGCCGCCCAUGGCUCAGCGCCCGGCUACGCCGCAACCCGCACCGCAGCCCGCCUCUCCACGAAUACAAUUUCUUAAUGGUAAUAGCUCCUCGAAUUUAGAUAUAAGCGCCGACGAAACCUUUAAUUUUAGAGUGUUAGGUGAAGAAGCUAGGGGUUUGCCUAAUAUGGAAGCAGGCCUUUUAUGCAUGAAUCUGAUUCUCAAUGAGCCUCCAACAGAACCUUCGUCAGGCCCUGAAACUUGCAGUCCAUGGUUGCACCACACUUUAGCACAACUCAUCCAGUAUUGUCUUGUGAGAGGGAAUGUCCGCCCUCAAGACAGAGUACAGCUUGAAAUUUUUAGUUUCAAUGCAGGGAACAAGCCACUUUUCAUAACACCCAGACGUGGUGAUCAACUAACACCAGAGGUAGUGUUUCAACGUCUGGAAAAAAUUCUAAAUUCUAAUGAAGAAUUCUUGCUUGAUGGCCCAUUGAGAAUCAGAUUUUGCAUCAAAAGAUGCCUAGUAGGUUAUGGUAGGAUAACUGUGGGUGUUAAUCUGACAAUGAGUCAUAACAAAUAUGUGACCACAAAAGCAGGUAUCAUCAACAUCCCGAAUGAUGAUGGGCUCUGUUUAGCCCGUGCGAUUGUUGUGGGCAGAGCUCACGCUCAUAGAUUAGACACCCCUGAGGCAAUGACUGAAUACAAAUGGCUCAUUAGGAAAAAUUGUGAUGGGCAGGAACGAGCAGCUUUACAGUUGUGUGACAUUGUGGGGGUAAAUUUGACAUUUGGAGGAGGACUGGAUGAAGUGAGAAACUUCCAAGACGCAUUGCCAGGUUAUACACUUACUGUAUUUUCUGUAGUAGUAGUAAUAUUAAGUUUCUUUCGUUUUUUUUCUUGUCUUAAAGAGUUAUUUAAUAGAUGA
rnacentral:lncRNA from 1 species